rnacentral:rRNA from 1 species
CUUUCUUUGCUGGCGACCGGCGCACGGGUGAGUAACACGUAUCUAACCUGCCCUUUACUCGGGGAUAGCCUUUCGAAAGAAAGAUUAAUACCCGAUAGUAUAAUGAUUCCGCAUGGUUUCAUUAUUAAAGGAUUCCGGUAAAGGAUGGGGAUGCGUUCCAUUAGGUUGUUGGUGAGGUAACGGCUCACCAAGCCUUCGAUGGAUAGGGGUUCUGAGAGGAAGGUCCCCCACAUUGGAACUGAGACACGGUCCAA